rnacentral:rRNA from 1 species
CGACCCCAGGUCAGGCGGGGUUACCCGCUGAAUU